rnacentral:lncRNA from 1 species
UUCAUUACACAAUGCCACUUAUAUAAACAGAGGCUGGCACGAGCUGUCAUGCAAUACUCACGCCACUACUUGACCCAUUACUCCACUAACAACUCCAUCCAUGCACUAACUACUUGAAUCAUCCCACGAAGCUAGCUAACAGAUCACAUGCAGCUAACAACCUAUUUGCCCACGUUUAGCACUCCCUGGAAUCACUCGAGAUCACAAAGACUCGGCUAGUACUAACAAACUAGCACAUGCGCAGCUCCUCUCCAACCAACUGAGAAACCUGCCGGGUCACUCGACCCAUUCUGACGUGGUCUAUCAUGUUCCAUCCUUCAUCACGUCUUUUGCCGCUUCUCACGGCGUCCUUGUAUCACACGGCACCAUCGGCAUCUCGCCGUGCUCGCCCCAUCGCACGGCAGCCCGACACCUCGCCGUCUUCACGCGCCUCCGAUCAAGCUUGGGCUCGUCGCAGCGACCGUCACAUUCGUCAAACAAACAUACAGAUACAUGAACAUGAACAUGACAAGAUUAAACCUAACAUUCACCUUCCUAAUCUUGUCAAGUCAACUCUUCUCAGCUUGAUGGAGAUCACCUGCAACCUCUUGCCGACGCCAUCGCAGUGUCGUGGCCAUCUUGCCGUGCACAAUGGAUAUCUCUUGACGUGGACGAUACCUUCGCAGCGUCGGUCACCACGUCGUUGCAGCUACCCAUCUCGUGGAUGGCAUCACACCAACCUAUACACCACCGCCGACCGGCUUCAUGCCGAUCCUCAUGAUGGCUUCGCACCGCCUAACCUUGCAACGACGUGACAUCGUUGUCUUCAUGUGGCAGCUUCGCACCGCCACCUCCUCUUGCGGCAUCGCACCGCAGCUACAUGUUCGUGCGGCGUCACACCGUCAAACACCGCCUUGUCGUGGACGACGCCGUCGCAGGCCUUGGACCAUCUUGUCGUGGAUGAUGCCAUCACAGCGCCGGUCACCACGACGUCGUGCCGCACGUAGCGGCCUCCUCUUGACGUGGACCACGCCUUUGCGACGCCGGUCACCACGCCAUCAUCAUCUUGCGGCAUCACACCACAACGUACCACCAACGGCAUCACGCCGCCAGCGGCCUCCACCUUCUGCCGCCGUCCUCCUCCUCACAUGGAGUUCGCCGCGCCGCCACCGCCUCGGAUCUACAAGGCUCUGGUACCAAUUGUUGGCGCCGUCCUCGUCGCGGCGUCGCUUCUUCUUAUACCUCGAGCUGCCUCGCACAACUCUCCUGAGGUUACUUUCUUCUCACUCUGGUUAUUUCUCUCAAACACACACACAAGAACACUUAUGAACACACACGUAUUUCUCUCAAACACACACACAAGAACACUUAUGAACACACACGGACACAAGGAAGAAACCAGCACCAGCCUUUGCCAAGAGCUCUCCUCCUUGAUGACACAAAUGCUACAUUGUUUCUCCCAACCCUCACUGGCUUCUCUUUUCAUUACACAAUGCCACUUAUAUAAACAGAGGCUGGCACGAGCUGUCAUGCAAUACUCACGCCACUACUUGACCCAUUACUCCACUAACAACUCCAUCCAUGCACUAACUACUUGAAUCAUCCCACGAAGCUAGCUAACAGAUCACAUGCAGCUAACAACCUAUUUGCCCAUGUUUAGCACUCCCUGGAAUCACUCGAGAUCACAAAGACUCGGCUAGUACUAACAAACUAGCACAUGCGCAGCUCCUCUCCAACCAACUGAGAAACCUGCCGGGUCACUCGACCCAUUCUGACGUGGUCUAUCAUGUUCCAUCCUUCAUCACGUCUUUUGCCGCUCUCACGGCGUCGUUGUAGCACACGGCACCAUCGGCAUCUCGCCGUGCUCGCCGCAUCGCACGGCAGCCCGACACCUCGCCGUCUUCACGCGCCUCCGAUCAAGCUUGGGCUCGUCGCAGCGACCGUCACGUUCAUCAAACAAACAUACAGAUACAUGAAUAUGAACAUGACAAGAUCAAACCUAACA